GCUCAGUGGGUUAAGCAUCUGACUUCAGCUCAGGUCAUGAUCUCACGAUUUGUGGGUUCAAGCCCCACAUUGAGCU
rnacentral:tRNA from 1 species